GCCAAGGGGACCCACAGGUUUGCCUGGUAUCGAUGGAGAUCCAGGGUUGGACGGUUUCUCUGGUCCUAAAGGAGAUAGAGGAGAGAGGGGAGAAAAGG